AUCUCUUUGGAGACGUUCGAAAAAUUGGAACACCACAAAGAAUAUUAGCAUGGCUCCUGCGCAAGGAUGAUACAGAAAUGCGCAAGGAUGAUACAGAAAUA